ACCAGCAGGCUGACUAGUACUGCGGUGAGUGAUCACGUGGGAACCCCAGGUGUUGUAU
rnacentral:rRNA from 1 species